AGUGAACGCUGGCGGUAGGCCUAACACAUGCAAGUCGAACGGCAGCACAGGAGAGCUUGCUCUCUGGGUGGCGAGUGGCGGACGGGUGAGGAAUACAUCGGAAUCUGCCCAGUCGUGGGGGAUAACGUAGGGAAACUUACGCUAAUACCGCAUACGACCUUCGGGUGAAAGAGGGGGAUCGCAAGACCUCUCGCGAUUGGAUGAGCCGAUGUCGGAUUAGCUAGUUGGCGGGGUAAUGUCCCACCAAGGCGACGAUCCGUAGCUGGUCUGAGAGGAUGAUCAGCCACACUGGAACUGAGACACGGUCCAGACUCCUACGGGAGGCAGCAGUGGGGAAUAUUGGACAAUGGGCGCAAGCCUGAUCCAGCCAUACCGCGUGGGUGAAGAAGGCCUUCGGGUUGUAAAGCCCUUUUGUUGGGAAAGAAAUCUUUCAGGCUAAUACCCUGGGAGGAUGACGGUACCCAAAGAAUAAGCACCGGCUAACUUCGUG
rnacentral:rRNA from 1 species